AGUGAAGUGCCUGACAAAAGGAUUAUCGUGAUAGGAUAAAACAUGUAUUUUCCAAUACCUUCACUA
rnacentral:tRNA from 1 species